rnacentral:rRNA from 1 species
CAGCCGCCGCGGUAAUACCGGCGGCCCGAGUGGCGGUCACUAUUAUUGGGCUUAAAGCGUCCGUAGCCGGGUUGGGAAGUCCUCCGGGAAAUCUGGCCGCUUAACGGUCAGAAUGCCGGAGGAUACUCCCAGCCUAGGGAGCGGGAGAGGCCGAGGGUAUUCCCGGAGUAGGGGGGAAAUCCUAUAAUCCCCGGGGGCCCGCCAGUGGCGAAGGCGCCCCGCUGGAACGGGUCCGACGGUGAGGGACGAAGGCCAGGGGAGCAAACCGGAUUAGAUACCCGGGUAGUCCUGGCUGUAAAGGAUGCGGGCUAGGUGUCGGGUGAGCUUCGGGCUCGCCCGGUGCCGUAGGGAAGCCGUUAAGCCCGCCGCCUGGGGAGUACGGCCGCAAGGCUGAAACUUAAAGGAAUUGGCGGG